UCGAUAAAAAGAGGUACCCCAAUUAGCGAGCUCUGCCGCGGCGAGCGACCGUCGCCCACUAAUUAAACACCUCGCCGCGUAGGGUAAACACCUGUCCCGGGAAGCUAGCGAGAAAAGUACACAGACGUCCGAUAUAGACACGUAGCUAAAAGUAUUUUAAUGCGACCGCUGUUAAUUAAUUAGACAUACACGCGGUCUUAUAGUAUGAACAGAACAACCAAACUGUAGAACUUGAAACGUAAGGCACCCCAAGUAGCUGAAUCGAGUUCUUCUUCGAAGAAAACGAAAAAGCGACCAGCGGUGAGCUGGAAGAACGAACCCGAAUGCUCCUCACAAGAUACUGAUAUCGUGAUCUGUGAUGACGAUGAUGAUGAUGAUGACGAUGUCUACGCGCUGAGUAAUCUUACUCAAAAACAGAGAACAGACCUCGACGAUGACGCUACCAGCGAAACCGAAAGCGAUGUUAUCCUGUUAAGCGAUGACAGCGACGAUGACUACGACGAGUUCGGCAACCCAAACGUGCCCUAUGUCACUUUAAAGGACACUAUCUCCAGAAAGAUUUCAAUCAAGAUCGAUGGAGGUAUCAUCUACAUCCAAAAAUAUACAUUUGCAUCAUCGAGAAACCUGCGCUUCCCGGAAAAAGUCGCGAGAAAGCUGUUUGAGAAGAUCGGGGACAUCAAACCCACGUACAGCGUGGUAGUGAAGCGACACAAAUCAGAUCACGACGUGAGAGAGGCGGCUCAACUGCUCGUGUCCAGGAAACCGUUCUACCGUUGUUGAACAAGAGAAAGGUUCACGACCUAAUGAAUCUCUAUCGGUCCGUGUUGCGCGAUGGAAUGUCGAGAUCGAUUGUCAAUACCGGUUUCAGAAGUAGAAAUAAUACCAUGUAUACAUAUCAGCAAAGGCGCUCGGGACUGUCGUAUUUCUACGCGAAACGAAUGGUGAUGUCUGACGGAGUGACGACUCGACCGUUAUGUUUGACUUUGAAACCCGUUUCCAGAUAAUGUUGAUCUGUAAUCUCACGUGUUGGUCUGGUCAGAAAUGUGGAUUCAUAUAUAUUUAUACAUAUAUCCUUGGUGUUGGUGUAUAUCUAUAUAUCUAUAUAAAUAAAAUACAACUAUUAUGUA